GACAGAGGGCGCGAGCGUUGUUCGGAAUUACUGGGCGUAAAGCGCGCGUAGGCGGAUCUGCAAGUCCGUAAGUGAAAUCCCGCCGCUCAACGGUGGGGCUGCUUGGGAAACGGCAGGUCUGGGGACCGGUAGAGGUCGGUAGAAUUCCCGGUGUAGCGGUGGAAUGCGUAGAGAUCGGGAAGAAUACCCGUGGCGAAGGCGGCCGACUGGGCCGGAUCCGACGCUGAUGCACGAAAGCGUGGGGAGCAAACAGG
rnacentral:rRNA from 1 species